AAGUCGUAACAAGGUUUCCGUAGGUGAACCUGCGGAAGGAUCAUUAAAGAUUCGACCUUUGGGUCUAUCUCUCUUCAGCUGUGCGCUUCGGCUGCACGCUGUUGAAACUCACACACCUGUGCACCAUUCGGUGGCGGCCUCGGUCGCUUCCGCUUUUACACAUACGACCACAGUCCAGAAUGUAAAACACAAUAACAAAUAACAACUUUCAACAACGGAUCUCUUGGCUCUC
rnacentral:misc_RNA from 1 species